rnacentral:rRNA from 1 species
UACGGAGGGGGCUAGCGUUGUUCGGAAUCACUGGGCGUAAAGCGUGCGUAGGCGGCUACUCAAGUCAGAGGUGAAAGCCCGGGGCUCAACCUCGGAAUUGCCUUUGAAACUGGGUAGCUUGAACACGGGAGAGGUAAGUGGAAUUCCGAGUGUAGAGGUGAAAUUCGUAGAUAUUCGGAAGAACACCAGUGGCGAAGGCGGCUUACUGGACCGUUGUUGACGCUGAGGCACGAAAGCGUGGGGAGCGAACAGG